rnacentral:rRNA from 1 species
UAAUCUUAUCUGGUAAAGCGAAUGAUUAGAGGCAUUAGGGUCGAAACGACUUUAACCUAUUCUCAAACUUUAAAUGGGUAAAAACCUCACCUUUCUUGAUAUGAAGGUUGAGGUUAUGAUAUAUUGUGCCCAGUGGGCCACUUUUGGUAAGCAGAACUGGCGCUGUGGGAUGAACCAAACGUGAUGUUACGGCGCCUAAAUUAACAACUUAUACAGAUACCAUAAAAGGCGUUGGUUGCUUAAAACAGCAGGACGGUGGACAUGGAAGUCGUAAUCCGCUAAGGAGUGUGUAACAACUCACCUGCCGAAGCAACUAGCCCUUAAAAUGGAUGGCGCUUAAGUUGUAUGCCUAUACAUCACUGUUAAAAUACAUGAUUUA